rnacentral:lncRNA from 1 species
CCGACCCCCAAAAGCGAAAACAAGUUGCCCUGUUCUUGACAAUACUCGCUUUCAGUCGCUUCCGUCAUCGAACAUUUUCAAUUUUUACCAAGUUGAUGAAACAUCAAUUUUUUAUUGAUAAUUAAAGAAAUUCAGACAUAAACGAUUUAUUAUCUUUAGAAAAGAGGUUGAAGCAUUGUCUUCGCAGUGUGUAGCAGGUUAUUUGAUAAAAAUACAACUUUUUAUCACUUCGUGCAUUUCCGCAA